CAAACCUCCACACUUCAUCCUCACCACUGACUGGAUUUGGUACUGGAGUGAUGAGUUUGGUUCUUGGCAGGAAUAUGGAAGACAGGGCACGGUGCACCCUGUGACCACUGUCAGCAGUAGCGACGUGGAGAAGGCCUACCUGGCCUACUGUACACCGGGGUCUGACGGCCAGGCAGCCACCUUGAAGUUCCAGGCCGGAAAGCACAACUACGAGUUAGAUUUCAAAGCCUUCGUUCAGAAAAACCUGGUCUAUGGCACAACUAAAAAGGUUUGCCGCAGACCCAAAUACGUGUCUCCCCAGGAUGUGACGACCAUGCAAACCUGUUGGACCAGAGUGGGAAUUACCCUGUGGGUAGAAGCUUCGUGAUGCAUAAUUAGAAGGCUGCCUGUUGUGAUCUGCGAUGAUUCUCUGGAGAAGACAGACUCUGAAGGCGAGUCUAGACUUGAAGCCAACCCAUCCGUUUGUCUUUUCUGUGGAAUCAUUGAGUCAUAGACUUGAAUUUUUUAAAUGUUGAAAUAAUGAAAUAAUGAUGGAAUUACACCAAUAAAAACUCAUGUAUUUUA
rnacentral:lncRNA from 1 species